rnacentral:lncRNA from 1 species
AGCUCCAGGAUGUUGUGUGAAGUCCUGCUCUCAUCGCUAUGGUUCCUAUUUGUUAUCUUCUGGUUCGAGACCAUAAGUGUGUGGUUGUUCCUGUCCAUGUUCUAUCAGGACAGGGCAUUUUACCACUGGGGAGAUGGCGUAUUUGCAGAUGAUCCUGGACAGAUGUUCUACAUGUUGAGCUGGUACGAACAUUGUCUUAAUUUUCAACAACUUAGGGCCUUUUGCAUUGUAAUAUGAACGUGCAAGGUUCAAUUAUUUGUCUCUUCUUGCAGAGUUGAUGCCCCUAUGCAGACAGACGUGCAGACCUGAGGCGGGUAAAAAUGAAGUCUAGUGGAACUAUAGACAUUUGUUGCAGUUAUUGGGCGAAAGAAAACCUAAUAUGCGGUAGCUGCUUUUCUUUGCACUGACUGCCUUGCCCAGUGUUGCGCAUGGUACUUGCUAAUAAACAUGUAUAAAUGUAAGCCA